CGUCAAGGUACUCCGUAGGUGAACCUGCGGGGGGGAUCAUCUA
rnacentral:rRNA from 1 species